rnacentral:rRNA from 1 species
CACGUAGGGGGCAAGCGUUGUCCGGAUUUAUUGGGCGUAAAGAGCUCGUAGGCGGCUUAGUAAGUCGGGUGUGAAACCUCCAGGCUCAACCUGGAGACGCCACCCGAUACUGCUGUGGCUAGAGUCCGGUAGGGGAGCGUGGAAUUCCUGGUGUAGCGGUGAAAUGCGCAGAUAUCAGGAGGAACACCAGCGGCGAAGGCGGCGCUCUGGGACGUGACUGACGCUGAGACGCGAAAGCGUGGGGAGCAAACAGG